rnacentral:rRNA from 1 species
AACAUGCAAGUCGAGCGGAAACGAAGAGGUGCUUGCACCUCUGGCGUCGAGCGGCGGACGGGUGAGUAAUGCUUGGGAAUAUGCCUUAUGGUGGGGGACAACAGUUGGAAACGACUGCUAAUACCGCAUGAUGUCUACGGACCAAAGUGGGGGACCUUCGGGCCUCACGCCAUAAGAUUAGCCCAAGUGGGAUUAGCUAGUUGGCGAGGUAAUGGCUCACCAAGGCGACGAUCCCUAGCUGGUUUGAGAGGAUGAUCAGCCACACUGGGACUGAGACACGGCCCAGACUCCUACGGGAGGCAGCAGUGGGGAAUAUUGCACAAUGGGCGCAAGCCUGAUGCAGCCAUGCCGCGUGUGUGAAGAAGGCCUUCGGGUUGUAAAGCACUUUCAGUAAGGAGGAAAGGUUAAGUGUUAAUAGCACUUAGCUGUGACGUUACUUACAGAAGAAGCACCGGCUAACUCCGUGCCAGCAGCCGCGGUAAUACGGAGGGUGCGAGCGU